GCCCCCUUUUUAAAACCCUAAUGCUCUCAAACUCUCCCUAUUUCCCUUUUUCUUUUCAACCGAAUGGCUCUCAAAUACCACCACUCUCGUCACACACGCCGCCGUAGACAAACAACAGAGGGUCGAAGAACCCCUCUUGCGAGGCGAAUCGAGAAGUACUCACCCUUUCCCCUUUUAUUUCGUAUUUUCGGAUUUGAAUGGAAAUGAAAAUAAAGCGAAAGAACAGGAAAAAGAAAAUCAUAAAUAACCACCUUAGAAAUGUUUUCUUGGUUGCUCUUUACUCUCUUUUUUGGUAUAUUUUGUAUUUCAAAAAAAAACAUUUACAAUUAAAAAUCAAAGGCUUUAUAGCCAAAAUACAAGUAGUUUUUGUUGUUUUCUUGUCCAACUUGCAGGCCGUGAAGUUGUGGAGAACGAAGGGCAUGGAGUAUGAGCGCAAACAUGGAGCAGGGUACACAGGGAUCGUGUAUGGAGUGCCAACGUGGGGGUUGCAGCAUGGGUGACCUAGGUUUCCCUAGGUUAGCCGAUUAGAUUUAGAUUUUGGGCCAUGGGUAUGGGGCCUGUCUCAUGUAAUUGGGUUAAUUUCAUUUUGGGUUUUGGGUUUGUAUUUGGACAUUUAAUAUUUUGUUUUAUUAUUUGGUUUUUGUAUGUGGAUGGGCCUAGGACAAAAUUGGGUCUUACAACUGCCCCUCUUUGCCCAUUGUUGUGUAACGAGAAAAGAGCAAAGACCCUAAAAGGACCAAUUUUGUCCGGUCUGGCCGAAUCUUUGACUUCUUUGGUGCUCCUCUUCUUCAAGUAGUCUUAUAGUAACUUUAGGAAGAUAAGAUUUGUGACUUCAACCUGCUCCACUACAACUUUAGGGAGACAAAGUCGGUGGCUAAAAUCUGCUCCAUAGCCGAUACAUGGAGAUAAGACUCACCAUCUUCGAUCUGCUCCAUAGCCGAUACAUAGAGAUAAGAUCUGUAAUUUUCAGUCUGCUUCCUACAACUUCAGGAAGAUAAGACUUGUAUAUUCAACCUGCUCUCUGUAACUUCAGAGAGAUAAGGCUGAUGGCUAAAAUCUACUUCAUAGCCGAUACAUGGAGAUAAUACUCGCCAUUUUUGAUCUACUCCAUAGCCGAUACAUGGAGAUAAGAUCUGCAAUUUUCAGUCUGCUUCCUGCAAUUUCAAGAAGAUAAGACUUGCAUAUUGAGCCUGCUCCACUGCAACUUUAGAGGGAUAAGGCUGGUGGCUAAAAUCUGCUCCAUAGCCGAUACAUGGAGAUAAGACUCGCCAUUUUUGAUCUGUUCCAUAGCCGAUACAUGGAGAUAAGAUAUGUAAUUUUCAGUCUGCUUCUUGCAACUUCAGGAAGAUAAGACUUGUAUCUUCAACCUGCUCUCUUGUUAACUCAGAGAGAUAAGGCUGAUGGUUAAAAUCUGCUCCAUAGCCGAUACAUGGAGAUAAGACUCGCCAUUUUUGAUCUGCCUCAUAACCGAUACAUGGAGAUAAGAUCUGUAAUUUUUAGUCUACUUCUUGCAACUUCAGGAAGAUAAGACUUGUAUCUUCAACCUGCUCUCUUGCUACCUCAAAGAGAUAAGGCUGGUGGCUAAAAUCUGCUCCAUAGCCGAUACAUGGAGAUAAGACUUGCCAUUUUUGAUCUGCCCUAUAGCCGAUACAUGGAGAUAAGAUCUGUAAUUUUCACCGAUGUCGCUACACUAUCCUCUGGGAAACAUGCCCUGCAGACUCGGUUUCAUGUCUAUGUUUAUGCCAAAUGAUUAGGAUACUAUGAACAAAAUUAAUCAGAUGCUCCUAACCAAAUGUGUUAUGAAUGAUAUGAAUGUAAAAAUGAAAAUGAUUUCUUUUUUAAAUGCUUAAAGUGUCAUCACUCAUUAUUAAUCAGAGUUUUAUCACUAUCGUAUUAUGCUGUCUUCUUGCUCAACUAGCAAUUCCCAACAAAAACCUGUAGAAACAACCCAUUUUGCUCAAGUGGUUUGCCCCAUUGCAACUUCAAAGUCUAUUUCACUGUACUUCUAGAACCUAAGGUUUGAAGAAUAUCAUGAUCCCCUUUUAUGCUUUGGCUGUCACCAUAUCCUGUUUUCUUAUUCAAUCAAUAUCCUUGAUCGAAAACCUAAAGAGAUAAUCCCAAUUUGAACACAAAUAUUCCACCCCUAAGCUGGGUAAGUUCUAAACGAUAGUCUUGUUUCAGGUUCUUGUACCAUUUAGAAACUUCUAGAGUAAUAUGCAAAACCUCUUUUGCAAAAGUAUUAUUAGUCCAUUAAUCGUUAUUUCAAUACAAGCACGUGAACAUAAAGAUAAAGAUGGACAAAACUAAAAUUUAUUAGGAACAAGAUUCAAGAAAAAUGGAUUAAUUACAUGUAGCAAAUACUGCUAAAGAACAAAAAUUGGUAAAAGGGGAACAAAAAUGAGCGCCUCAGAUAUCACAGCCUAAGCUCCUCCAUAUGAACUCCAAGAGAACCAUUUUGAGUUUAUCAUGUGUGUAGAAGAUCUAGCGUAUUCUGUCGAUGCCCCAAGACAUGCGUACUUCCUCCUCAUUAAUUCCAGCAUAGCAAGACUACCACCUGCCCUAUCCUUGGUCAAAAUUUGAAUUGCCCUUUUCGGGUUUUCAAUUCAAAACCCCUUUGGUCUCAAUGCGCCCUUUGUGGGUUUUCACCUCGGCCUCUCCUUUUUUUUUAGGUGCCCUUUGCAGGUUUUCACCUCUUAAGCGAAUUACUUCUUGACUGAAUCCGAAUUUACUAGGUUAGGCAGGCCCUUACCAUCUAUCUUAGUUAAUAUCAGUGCUCCUCCAGAAAAAGCCUUCUUUACCACGUAAGGUCCUUCCCAGUUUGGCAUCCAUUUCCCUCUGAAAUCUUUUUGCAUAGGGAGAAUUUGUUACAAUACCAAGUCCCCCUCAUGGAAUACUCUAGGGCAAACCUUUUUGUUGUAAGCUCACAUCAUUCGCCUCUGGUACAUUUGACCAUGACGGAUAGCCUUCAGUCUCUUUUCUUCAAUCAAGUUCAGCUGAUCAUACCGGGACUGAAUCCAUUCUGCUUCGUCUAGCUUCAACUCUGAUAAAACCUGAAGAGAAGGAAUUUCAACUUCAAUGGGCAAAACUGCCUCUAUCCCGUAAACCAAUGGGUAAGGUGUUGCCCCGGUAGAAGUUCUGACAGAUGUUCGAUAGGCAUAAAGAGAAAAUGGUAACUUUUCAUGCCAAUCCUUGUAGGUCUCAGUCAUUUUCCCCAUGAUCUUUUUGAUAUUCUUAUUGGCUGCCUCAACCGCACCAUUCAUUUUUGGGCGAUAAGGUGACGAGUUGUGGUGCUUAAUCUUGAACUACCUGUAGACCUCCACUAUCACGCUGUUAUUCAAAUUCAACGUGUUGUCAGAUAUGAUCCUUUCUAGCAUGCCAUAUCGACAUAUGAUUUCUUUUUUCAAGAACUUGCUGACUGCCGACUUUGUAACGUUGGCAUAUGAAGCAGCCUCUACCCACUUGGUGAAGUAAUCGAUGACCACAAAGAUGAAUCGAUGUCCAUUAGAAGCCUUUGGUGACAUUCGCCCAAUGACAUCCAUGCCCCACAUUGAGAAAGGCCAAUGAGAAGUCAUGACAUGAAGGGGUGAAGGAGGCACGUGGAUCUUGUCACCAUAAAUUUGACACUUAUGGCAUUUGUUGGCAUAGCUGAUGCAAUCUCCUUCCAUUGUGGACCAGUAGUACCCGAAUCUCAUAAUUUGCCUGGCCAUUGUGAACCCAUUUGCAUGCGUCACGCAGACACCUUCAUGGACUUCUUCCAGGAUUUUCUUAGCUUUAACAGCAUCAACACAUUUUAACAGCACCUAAUCCUUCCUCCUUUUAUAUAGGAUUUCUCCAUCUAUGACAUAGUUACUGGCUAGCCUUCUCAACGUCCUCUUAUCAUUUUCAGUUGCCUGAUCAGGAUAUUCACGGCUUUUCACAUAUCAUAAAAUAUCAUGAUACCAAGGAUAAUCAUCUCUCUCUUCUUUGUCGUCUAUACUGUAACAAUGAGCUGAAGCCUCAUAAAUACUCAUCUGGAUCGGCUUCAUAUUCUCUCAUACAUUUACUCUGAUCAUAGAAGCUAACGUAGCCAAAGCAUCUACCAUCUGGUUUUCGUCUUGCGGGAGAUAAUAGAAAGUGAUAUCAUCAAACACCUUACUUAAAUCCCAAACUAGCCCAUGAUAGUUUAUCAACUCUGGGUCUCUUGUUUCCUAUUUACCUUUAAGAUGAUAGAUCACAAGUGCAUAAUCUCCAUACACCUCUAACACCUUGAUUUUACGUUCAAUGGCUGCAUGGAUUUCCAUGAUACAAGCCUCAUACUCUGCCAUAUUAUUUGUGCAAUCAAAAACCAAUUUGCAAGUGAAUGGAUAAUGAUCUUCAUGUGGGGAUAUCAGGACUGCCCCAAUUCCAUUGCCAACAACGUUUGAUGCUCCGGUAAAAUUCAGUUUCCAUGGAUGAUCUUCUGAAAUGUCCUCUUCGGUAGUUCCACAUACAUUAGAUCUUCAUUAGGGAAAUCAAAGUUCAAAGGCUCAUAAUCUUCUAAAGCUCUGCUGGCUAGAAAAUCUACUAUUGCGCUCCCUUUCAUAGCCUUCUGAUUCACAUAAACUAUGUCGAAUUCAGAAAGCAGGAUUUGCCACCGGGUCAUUCUUCCACUUAGAGCAGUCGACUCCGUCAUGUACUUUAGAGGGUCCAGUUUUGAGAAUAAUCAAGUCAUGUGGUAUAACAUGUACUGCCUCAAUCUCCGAGUGGUCCAAACCAAGGCACAACAUAAUUUCUCAAUUGGUGAGUAUCUCAUUUCACACUCAGUGAAUUUCUUACUGAGGUAAUAUAUUGCCCUUUCUUUCUUUCCUGUCUCAUCGUGUUGGCCGAGCACACAUCCCAUUGAAUUAUCAAAUACUGUCGAAUACAGUAUCAAUGACCUACCCGGGCUAGGUGGCGUUAGCACUGGGGGAUUGGUCAAAUAUUGUUUAACCUUGUCAAAGGUUUUCUGGCACUCAUCAUCCCACACACCUGGGUCGUGUUUAUUGAGAAGGUGAAAUAUGAGGUUACAUUUCUCAGUCAGCUGUGAAAUGAAUCAGGCGAUAUAAUUUAGUCUUCCAAGAAAACCUCAAACUUUCUUCUAAAUACGCGGCGGAGACAAUUUUUGUAUAGCCUUGACUUUGUUGGGGUCGACCACAAUUCCCUUUUCGCUGACUAUGAAACCAAGCAGCUUCCCUGACCUACCUCCAAAAGUACAUUUUAUUGGAUUGAGCUUUAGUUAAAACUUCCUCAACCUCAGGAAAAAUUUCCUCAAAACUUGUAUAUGCUCCUUUUCUGUUCGGGAUUUUGCGAUCAUAUCAUCGACGUAGACCUCAAUUUCCUUAUGCAUCAUGUUGUGAAACAAGGUUACCAUGGCUCUUUGAUACAUUGCUCCUGCAUUCUUCAACCCGAAUGGCAUCACCCAAUAGCAAAAAGUCCCCCAUAAGGUUAUGAAUGUAGUCUUUUCCAUGUCUUCAGGAUGCAUCUUUAUCUGAUUGUACACAGAGAAACUAUCCAUGAAGGAGAACAGUGAGUAACCUGCCGUGUUGUCCUCCAAAGUGUCGAUGUGUGGCAGUGGGAAGUUGUCCUUUGGGCUAGCCUUAUUUAAGUCUCUGUAAUCCAUGCACAUCCGCACUUUUCCAUCCUUCUUAGGGACAAGGACGGCAUCGGCUACCCAUUCUGAGUAAUUCACCACUUGCAAGAACCCGGCAUCAAAUUGCUUCCUGACCUCUUCUCUUAUUUUUACUACAACAUCGGGUCUCAUCUUCUGAAGCCUCUGCUGAAUAGGCUUGCACUCUUCUUUUAUGGGGAUGCAAUGCACUGAAAUAUCAGCACUUAGCCUAGGCAUGUCUUGAUAUGACCACGCGAAGAUAUCUUUGAACUCUUAUAGUAAAUCAAUGAGGUCCCGUCUUGUUUCCUCAGUUAUGCAAGCUCUAAUGUUCACCUCUUUCCCCCCUUCCAAGGUCACACUCUCAAUUGUCUCUUUAUGGGGUAAAAUCUGUUUCUCUUCUUGUUCACCAUCCUUAACAAAUCUAAAGGUAAGCUACAGUCUUCAUCAUCUUCAAAAUCCUGAGAUCCCUCCAAACACACAUCUCGCUCAAAAAGGAACUCCGGGUUUGUAACAGCGUCACUCAUGCCAUUGAUAUCUGAGUCCUAUUGUAGGCACGAAAGAAUAUCCAACAAACAAAUGAACCUAAGUAUAGCUUUAUUUGUAUAGUAUGAUUAUAAAUGAAAUGCAAGAAAAGAAAAUUUGCUGAAGAUAAAAGAAUAUUUACUCAGAAUAAGACAUGAAAGUGUAUUUAUAUUGAAAUAAAUGUUUUGAACAUGAGCCUAUUUCGCAAAAGGUUCUUAUUGAUUCUAGGCUUUAAAACGACAAGUGCAUUUUGAACAUUACUCUGUAUUAGCACUAAAAACUACAGGAAUUUUCUCCGCAGUCCAGUUGUUCAGAACACUUCCAGGCUCAUAAGGGCGAAUGCUUGCUAAGUCACGUUUCAUCACUUUCUCUUCAGAUAUGACAUUGAUAUUCAAAUUUUCCAUUGUGUCUUCAGCUGCUCCCUCUCUUGUCAUCUUUAAUUCAGGAUAAAUAACUCCACCUGACACAAAUAUAUAGGAUAUAUGGGGAAAAGUCAUUGAUUCCCACUCGACUUCUGCCCCAUUUAGUCGUGCUCUUCGUCUGUUCUGCCUCCUUUCCAUCUCAUUUCUUUUUUGCUUUGCAUUUGGCCUAUACCCUAAGCCAAAGCGAUCUUGUUUAUCAGCCAAAACCGGUACCUCAACUUGUCCAUGAAGAUACUUUCCAAGUCCUCUUCCAAGCAAUGCUCCCUUUCCCACUAUUAAUUGCAAGCUCAUCCUCGUAGCCUCAAAUAUUCUUGGCAUUGGCACCCUGCCCCCUUCAGUGAUGAAAGUUGCAUUUACAAACUCUAAUGACUAAAAGGAACACUCAAUUUCUUCAUCAUCAUUUUCUAUAUACGGUGCACUACUAGUAACGGAUGCAAUAAUGUCCUCUUCAGCAUUUAUCGUUAUCAAGUGGCCCUCAAUCACCAACUUUAACUUUUGGUGCAAUGAUGACGGUACUGCCCCUGCCAAGUGAAUCCAAGGCCUCCCCAACAAGCAAUUACAAGAAGGCGUAAUAUCCAUCACAAGGAAAUCUACCUCGUAUGUGUUUGGUCCGAUCAGCAGAGGUACCUUAAUCCUUUCCAUCACUUUUCUCUUAGUGUCAUCAAAUGCCCUCACUAUGUUCUGGCAUGUCUUCAUAUGAGAGCUGUCUAUUGAUAACCUAUUUAAUGUGGACAAGGGCAAAACAUUCAGCGUUGACCCAUUAUCAAUUAAUACCCCCGGUAGUGUAUACCUUUUGCAGCGAGUGGUGAUGUACAGAGCCUUGGUGGAUCCCAUGCCCCCUGGUGGUAUUUCAUCAUCACUGAAGGAGAUAAAGUUAUCGGCGCUUAUGUUGCUAACAAGGUGGUCUAGCUUGUUCACUGAAAUAUCUUCAGCGACAUAGGUCUCGUUCAACACCUUCAUCAACGUAUUUCGGUGAACCUCCGAGUUUUGGAGCAGAGCUAGUACCAAUGUGCAUGCCGGCUGCUUGUGCAACUAUUCCACAAUACUAUACUCACUGUGUUUUAGGAACUUCAAAAAUUCAUUAUCUUCAUCUUCAGUUACUGGUUCAUUAACCAGUGGUUUUGUCCUCUCUUUCCCUUGUUCAAUCAUCACGGACUUUCCUUUUCCAGGCUCGACCUUUGUACUUGGCGUGCUGACCAGACUGUCCUCCCCUGGAUAUGUCACAUUACAGUUGUAAUUCCAAGGCACCCUUUUGUUAUCCUUAUACGGAAAAGCCGUGGGUCUUUGGAUUACAACUCUCGGUGUAAUUUUUACUCCAACUUCAUUAAUUUUCGGUCAUGAAAUAAUCACCACUGGGUGAUUGACCUCAGAAACCUUCUCUAUCAACCCCUCUUCCGAGAUGCAUACAUCUUCCUUCUCAGUAAACUCAAAGAACUCCAGUUCUUUGUUGUCCAUUAGAGCCUGUACCAGAGCCCUAAAUUCAUUAUAUGCUUCUAUCUCAUGGUCCUCCUCUCUAUGGAACUCACAAUAGUUCCCUACUUCUCGGGAUUUGCUCCCAAAGUCUUGCAUGAUUAGACCUUUCUCUACCAUCUUCUUCAAAACCUCCCUCAUCGGGGUUCUCACUUCUACCACAUCCAACUUAAUUCUCCUCCCCAUAUUCUCGACUAUUACGUUUACCCCUUUAUCAGUAAGAUUGGGUAACGAAUUUCCUACACCAGAUGCAUCAUCGAAUUUCACAACACCCAUGUUAAUGGGCCUUUCAACUACCCUCUUAAAAGAGGUGCAGUUCUCUGUUGAAUAACCCGCGAUUCCAGUAUGAUAUUCACAUUGAGCACUUGCAUCAUACCACUUGGGGUAUGGGGUUGCAGUGGUUUUAAGUAGAAAGGAGAUAUGACGUGUGCAUCAAACAAACUUUUGUACAGCUUUCGAUACAUUAUUGGAAUGAGAGUAAACUGGGGCUUCUCCAUGUUCUGCUUUAUAUUGGGCUCUUGCCUUGGCGAAGCUUGCUGGCCUGUGGCUACCACUUUCGGUUGAUUUACCAUGAUUGGUUUCGCAUAACCCAUGUUCACAUUGCUGACUUCAUUUUCUUUCUUUUUCGGGGCCGACCUCCUGGUGCUUUCCCCUGCCUCUAUCUUUUCGCACUUUAUUGCAUUCUCAAUCAUUUCACCAGAUAUAACUAUAUCUACAAAACUCUUAGUUGCGUUUCCCAACACCUGAUUAAUAAAAGGUACCUUCAAUGUAUUAAUGAAAAGCAUGGUUGUUUCCUUUUCCAACAGUUGGGGUUGGACUUGUGUAGCAAUCUCCCUCCAUCUCUGAGCAUAUUGCCUGAAACUUUCAUUUGACUUCUUCUCUAUGUUCUGUAAUAUGAUCCUAUCAGGCGCUAUGUUAGUCACAUGGCCAUAUUGUUUUAUAAAGGCCUGUGCUAAGUCUUUCCACGAUUUAACUUGGAUAUGAUUCAACUGAUUAUACCAUUUGGCUAUAGCCUCAAUCAAAUUGUCCUAGAAAUAGUGAAUCAAUAACUGAUCAUUAUUGACAUGACCAGUCAUUCUUCGACAAAACAUAGUGAUAUGAGCCUCAGGGCAACUGGUUUCAUUGUAUUUUUCAAAUUCUGGCAUUUUGAACUUCGGGGGGAGUACCGGAUUUGGAACCAAGCUUAAAUCAUUGGCAUCCAUUCCGUAAUGAUAAUCAGCGCUUUCCAACGUCUUGAAUUUUUCCUCCAACCAUUUAUAUCGGUCUUCUAGUCGCUUUGGAAAUUCUGCUCCUGCCUUUCUUACUUCCGCGGCCUCAUCGAAGUCAGGGACUGUAGGAUUUGCCUGAUGGUCUUCGGGGUUAGAACACGAGCCCGUCGGGACAUUUAUCGGUGUCGAAGUACCACUCUAAUAUUGGGGUUUGAUAUUGACAGACACCUUUUGCGGAUGCACUGGAGUAUUUGUUGGGGUGAAACCCAGAAGGUAAGCAAGAAUCCCGCUAUCAUCCUCAGCAUUGACCAUGGGACUCUUCCCCUUUUUCGGCUUUCCAACUAGUAGCUGAGUCAAUUCACUCAUCAUACUCCUCUGAGAUUCUAGCAUUUUAUCUUUCAUAUCUUGCUGGAUCUUAGUUAAUUGCUCUUUCAUUUGCGCUUGCAUCUGUUCCUGCAUUUCUUUCUACAUCUGCUCUAAUUUUUUCAACCUUUGAUCCAAAGCUUUGGUCUUUUUCGUGUGUAAUAUUGAUGUUCCAGGGUAACUAUAAUACAAUUUUUAAAUUAAUUAAUGUUCUUUUCAUGAAAUUUAAUGUACAUGAUGCGAUGAAAUGAAAAUGUAUGAAAUAAAUGCAAAACUAAAGAGACGUCGAUUCUGAUUCAAUUAUAUUUAAAAAACUUUAUUAGAAAGAAAAAUCAUUUACAUAAAAUAUAUCAUAUAUACGGCCUAGCCCUAAUGCUCAAAGCUUUAACUUUCUUAAGAAGGCAAGCUAGCUCACGACCCCGGUCCAACUCUAACUCAUACUUCACACUUAGCACAUCAGCUUGAACCACUAUGGUCUGUAAAUGAUCAGCCACUUCUCGAAUCUGAGCCACGGCUUCACCCAUGAUAUGAUCUCUAUCCCUGACCUGGUCCUACGAUCAGCGGAGCUGUUCCUUCCACUGCUCAUUGUUCGACUCAAGUAAUUCAAUUUGAAGCUCACAGUUUUGUAGUGCAGUCUCAAGCUCUUCUACCUUCCCUUUCAAAUCUUCAAUCCUACCCAAACUGGCUCUUAAUUCAAUAUCAGAGUUACGACCAUGGUGCUGAUACAGGGCCUUUUCUAGCUCCGCUACCCGAGCUACCAACAUCUAUUUCUCACAUUGGCCUUCAACCAAAUUCUUCUUUAAUGCGCUUUCACGUGCUCGAGCAUCAUGGAACCUCUUCUCCCACUGAUCUGUUCUAGCCUUUUCCCCUUGAACUUCUUGUCGCCACUGCUCUGACGUCUUUCCCAAUCCAGCAGUUCUCAUCGACAUAUGCAGCUUCUUGUAAUCAAUCUUUAAACUAUCCAAGUCUUCCUCAGCCUUCCAUUUCCCUUUUCUCAACUUUUCGGCCUCGAGUUUCUGAACAUCGACAUCCGAACUCAAAUGCAUAUUUUCUUUUUCCAAUCUAUCUUUUUCCCUAAUUCUGCAUUUCUCUCUUCGAAGUCCCAUUUUACGAUUUCAAGCUCGGAGGGGAUUACUUGCAAAUAUUCUUCCAUCGCACGAACAUCCUCCAAACUCAGCUAAGGGAUAUUAUCAUUAACUCUUUUACUCAACCACCCCUUGUAUUCAGGAGCCGUCAUUGAUCCAACAUCCAAUCUCUUCAUCCGACGCGUCUGUUUCCAAGCAUCAGAAAUCUCUCGAACCUUCUUCUUAUAAUUGUUCUCCCUAUACGCGAACUCACUCUAGGCUAAUCCACGUGUUAUCGGUAUAAACUGCCUUGACCUGUAUUGUCUUAAAACGAGCAAAGGGGCAUAUCCAGCAGCUCUCUAAAUUCCAAGUAGAGGUACCUAAUCAAAACUCCCACACCGAUAGAGGAUCUCAUAAGGAACAAACCAAGGAGCUUUCCACUCAACAUCCUCUUCCUGAAUAUUUUAGAGGAACGCGAUCCAAUUUUCUUCUGAUAUGUCAUCUCUCUUGGACAUGGCUGUUAUUUCCUUUAACGGGGAGUAAAUCUCGGAGAAAACCCGAUCAAAAACCUUAUCCACCUUCCAGAAAUGGCUGUGGAACCAAGCCAGCAACAAUUGCGCACACCCUAUAAAUCUUCCUUCACUUGCCCUCCGACAUGCACUCAAAGAUCUAAAUGUCUCCACUAGAAUUGUCGGCACUAGUAUGACCCCUUUGUCAAGUCGAUCAAAGAAAUCGGCAACUACUUCAUCUAUAUGCCUUAAAGCUUUGGGGAAAAUCACCAAACCAUAGAUACUCAAGGCGAAAACAUCAACUUUCCUCUUUGUAUCUGCAUGUGCCACGAUCAGGUCCCUCAAACUCACCCAAGAAAUGCACUUACCAUCACCCUUUAGCUGAAUUCGGGCUGUAACCCACUGUUUACUCAUCCCAGUGAUACUCAUUAACUUCUUUACAAAAGCCGGGGCACUAGCAGCCUUGGAAUAAAUUUUGUCGACUUGAACCUUUGGACAACGAAGCAAAGCUGUAUACUCCUCCACAAUAGGCACCAAAUCCACCUUUCCAAAGGUGAAACAACUAUAUGCCAGGUUCCAUAACUGAGCCAUAGCCCGAAACAAGUACUUAUCCACCUUGACGUCAAGUAGGUAGGGUAAGUCGCCAUAAUUUUGAUAGAACAGCUGCCUAGCCUUAUCAUCCCAACUAGCCCAUAUAUCCCUCAACUCUUGGAGUUCAUUUUGGGUCACAUUGAUACGAGUGAAGUUCCUCAAUUCCGAUGUACACCCUUCAGCCAAGCUAUCCCCUUUCUCAAGUUGCAUAUUCUCUGACCACAUACGGACAACCGCAUUAUCUUCUACUUUAUCAAGGAAUUCGCUCUCCAUAACCAGCUUUAUAAUUUAGCAACCGAAUAGAAAUCGACACCUCUUUAAUAAUGCAAACAUAUCUACAACAAAACACAACAAGUUAGUAUCAAAAAAUAAAAAAUAAAAGUAAAUAGAAAAUAAUCAAACACCUAACUGGGUAAUCACUAGGGUUCAACAUAGCUCUACCUAGGGCGGGCUCCUAGAGUUCACUAUAUGUGGCUCGGUUCUAGAAAAUGGUACCUGAACUAGCAGAUUCCUCAACCCUCACCCAUUAUAGGCUCAUGUGGAUCGAGUUCGAUUCAAGGGAAUACAUUUCCCUAUGGCCAUGAGGAGGUGAAAACCUCACGAAGACAUAGGUACGGAUGUAUCCCGAAAGCAGACCACUAGCCCAUGCGGAGGUGAAAACCUCAUGGAGGCAUAGUUUCUCACUCCCACUUAAAAAGGUGCAACCACAAUGGUCAUGCAAGAUGAUGUGAGGGGAUAUAAAAAACUCAAAAUGCAAAACACGAAUAAAAUGAAAAAAACUAUAAAACCCAUGAAAUGCAAUGAAAGGAUCGUAUGUUAAAAUCCAAAGUUUAAAUUUUUGGCAAAAAGAUAGAAAAUAAUCAAUUUUACUGCUUGACUCUCUUAUUGGUCCCUAGUAGAGUCGCCAAGCUGUCGAAACCAUUUUUAAAACUUGAAAAAACGGGGAUCGACUUUAAAAACAAAUUAUGGAGUCGCCACCAAUCUUUUUUGGUUUAGGUGUGAUCGGAUCACCUAAUAAAUUAUUUUAGUAAAAUAUUGAUUUUGAGCCUACGAAAAAUCAAGAAACGGGUUCGGGAGUCGGUUACGUACGGGAAAGAAUUAGCACCCUCGUAACUCCCAAAAUUGGUACCUAAUUGAUUAAUUUAUAUCCUAAUGUUGAAAAUUUUAAAAAACAUCGAAAUACGAUCCCUUUAAAAGUGUGUGAACAACUCGAGUUGGAUUUUAAGAUUCACUCGUUCCAAAGGAAUAAAAUACCACAUCCAGCAUAUUAGGACGCGAUAUUUUAAGCCUCCAAAAAACUGAGAUCACCUCAUGAUUUCCAAAACACGCGAAGCAACUCCAAUUGGAUUUUGAGAUUCACUCGUUCCAAAGGAAUAAAAUAUCACAUCCAGCACAUUAGGACACGGUAUUUUAAGCCUCCAAAAACUGAGAUCACAUCAUGAUUUCCAAAAUACGCAACGAAAAUUUUUAAAAGGGUAUUCGGUUAUUUGGUCCAACGAUAAAUCGAAACCCAGCAUGUUAGGGCACGAUUCCUCAAAUUUCCAAACAUGAAACGUUGCCUCGAUUUGUGAAGUUUCAAAUACAAUUGCAAAAACGAGUCAAAAUAUACUUGUUUGAUUUGUUUGAAAAUAAAGGACAAUCGAUAUUGAGUGAAUAUGGGAAAUAUAAUCAUGAUGCAACAACAAGAAACAAAAAUAUAAUUACUGUUAGAAUUAAGUGACCCAAAUUCUUAUUUAAAUAAAAUAUGAUGGAAAAUAAAAUAAAAGUAAAAUCCAUAUAGAACUAGACUUCUUUUAUUUUAUUUUAGAAUAAGGUUUUUAAACCUUAUUAAACUCCAUCUAUUUUAUAUUGAUUAGGAUAAAGUGCUUCAAUCCUACUAGAAUAUGACUUUGCAAGCCUAUAAAUAGACAUCGUCUAUUCCUCUUGUAUUUGAUUCAAAUUUUUCGACAUAGUGAAUUUUCUUCUCCUCUGCCCGUGGUUUUUUCCCGAAAGGGUUUCCACGUAAAAUUUGUGUGUUCUUUAUUUUAUUUUAUUUUAUUUUUUCACAAAUUGGUAUCAGAGCUUCCGGGUUAUUCAUCUCGAUCACGGUAAUGGUGUGACACCCCUAAAGUGACCCUAGUCGGAAAGUGGUUUCGGGACCCCUAAACCGAGUCAUAAAGAUAAUUAACCGUCAUAGUUGAUGCUCAUUAUAUGUACAUAUGCAUGUGUGAAAAUUUCAUGUUUGAAUUUUGUUAAUGGUAAGUGAAUUUUAUCAAAUAGGAUUUAUGUGAGAAAAUUUGGAAAUGUGCUAGGCAAAUGUAAAGUGGCCUAAUAAUGCAUGUUGUGAAAUGAUGGGUUUGCAUGUCAAAUUCCCCACUUUAGAGGAAGUGGCCGGCCAUGAGGGUAUGGGAUACAAAGCAUAUGCAUUUUGUAUUAAUAUUAUAAUGACUACAUGGUUUUAUAAUAGGAAAUAAGUAUUAAAAAAAACAUAUUAAAGACAUUUUAUGCUAAUAUGUGUGGGAAGAAUAAUAAAAUAUGAGGGGAGUGGGAGGAGAAACCAAAGUUGUCUCCCCCUUACUCCCCAUUGCCGUGACUAGAGAAAGGGGAAGAAAAACAAAAUUCUUCCUUUGUUGUUCAACAUGGCCGAAUGGAAGGAAGAAGAAGAGGGGAAGUUCGGCCAAGGUGGUUCUUGAGAUUAAGGUAUGUUCAAUGUUGCUUUUGGAGGUUUACACAUCCUUUGGAGGGUUAGCCUACUUCUAUUUAUCUCAUGGAUGAAAUUAGAGUUGUUGGAGAGUUAGGAUUCGGCUAAGAGGCUUCAAAAUUUUAGUUGAUGCCUUGAUACUACUAGCAUGUUAGCUAUAUGGAUGUGUUAAAUUACUUGAAAUGCUAGAUAAAUUUGAACUCCCUACCAAAUUCUUUAGGCAACCCAUGUUAGAAAUUUCGGUAUUGAGAUGUCUAGAUCUUUCGGCCAUUGUAGCUAUGGAGGAAUAAAGUUUUUGUUUCUUGUUAAAUUGGAUGAAUCUUGUUGUAUGAGUGCUUAAACAAACUAUGAUUAAAUGGAUGCAUAAAUUCAAAGUGGGAAGAAAUGGGCUAUUAUAUUUGAUGCUAAUGCCGAAUAUGAAGAUGAUGAACUUGAAUAAAUAAUAUUCAGCUAGCAUGAUAAGUUAUGAAAUAUUAAGUAGAUGAUAUAAUUGAUUGAUGAAGUGGCUAAUAAGGAUUUCUAAUGAAAUUGUUGCCAAGGCCGAAUGUAUCAUGAAGUAAAUAAAAAAAUUCUAAAUGUGCAUUAUGUGCUUAUAUGUGUAUUCGGCCAGGGAAGUUUGACAUGAAACUUUGAUAGGUUUGAGAGAUGAAUGACCGAAUGAGCUAGAGGUUAUGUAUGGGUGAAUUUUAUGCACAUGUGUGUGUGUGGCAUUAGUAGCUAAUGGAAUUCGGCAUUGUUUAAUUAAAAUUAGAAAUGAAUGCUUGAAAGUUAAAUAGGUCACUCUAAUGACCAAAUAUGCUAAAAGCUAAUAUAUGGACAAAUGAUACGAACGAAUUGGUUUUUGAAAUGUAUAUGGUUGCCAUAUAUAUGUGUUUGAUUGAGAAGUAAAUUUGUUUGAUUUAGCUCAAGAGCCUAGAGGAUCAAAGUUGGAUAAGGGAAAGGAAAAAGUGAUCGAAGAGUCGUCGUAAUCGUUCGGCAACUUCCGAGGUAAGUUUUAAGUGUUUAAACGUUGAGUAAAUUCAAUUAUAAUAGGACAUGAUGAGCUGAUUUAAUAAGAUAUGAUGUGGCCAUGAUAUGUUCUAAGCUCAAAUGGUAAGUUCUUAAGUGUUUGAGCUUGGGAAUUUAAAGGUAAUUUGAAAUAGUCUGCUUCGGACAGCAGCAGUAACGUGACUUUAGAAAAUCACCAUAAAUUUAUGGACUUGAAUUAGAGGCUGAAUGAGACAUGAAAUUAAAACUUAAUGAGUCUAGUUUCUUAUAAAAGAAACCGUGUAAGCAAAGGAAUUUCCGAUAAUGAGAUAUUUAAAGUUGUGUCAGAUGGUGUCAGAAUGACUCCGAAAUCCCCUGUUCUGUUUUUAGAAAAUCAUUAUAAAUUUUACAAAAAUGUUUAUAAGAUAAAAUUUAUAUGCUUAGACUCCUUAAUGAGUCUAGUUUCAAAUAAAAUCAAAUAAAACACAUUUUGAAUUCUGUAAAAUGAGAAAUUUGAUUCGUAGUGAAGAGUGGUCAGAUUAGUCAAACAGUGGAACAGGGGAAACUUUAAGAAAAAUAUGGUAUUGAUUGGCCAAACCUAAAAUUCUGGAAAUUUUAUGGAUGGAAGAUAUACGAGUCUAUAUUCAGGAAAAAUUAACGGAAAGUGAUUUGGAGUUUUGUAGCUCCAGUUAUAAAUGAUUUAGUGACUAUUGCUCAGGAAAAACAGCUUGUGCUGAAUUUGAGAUUGUGUUGUAAACCUUGAUAAACUUGUUCUAGUUGCUCAUAAGCUAUCGAUUAAACCCAUACGUGAAUUCUAAAUUGUGAUAUUGGAAAAUGAUAGAUGUAGAUUCAGCCAAGAGAGUGUAUAUAUGUGAUAAGGCCUAAUGGCCGAUGUGAUGAAUGUGAAAGUGUAUGUAUGUAAUAAGGCCUAAUGGCCGAUGUGAUGAAUGUGAAAGUGUAUGUAUAUGUGAUAAGGCCUAAUGGCCGAUGUGAUGAAUGUGAAAGUGUAUGUAUAUAUGUGAUAAGGCCUAAUGGUCGAUGUGAUGAAUGUGAAAGUGUAUGUAUAUAUGUAAUAAGGCCUAAUAGCCGAUGUGAUGAAUGUGAAAGUGUAUAUGUGUGAUAAGGCCUAAUAGCCGACGUGAUGAAUGUGAAAGUGUAUAUGUGUGAUAAGGCCUAAUAGCCGAUGUGAUGAAUGUGAAAGUGUAUAUAUGUGAUAAGGCCUAAUGGCCGAUGCGAUGAAUGUGAAAGUGUAUAUAUGUGAUAAGGCCUAAUGGCCGAUAUGAUGAAUGUGAAAGAGUAUAUAUGUGACAGGGCCGAGUGGCCAACGUAAUGGAUGUGAAAGUGCAUAAAUGUGAUAAGUCCCGAAAGGCAUUUGUGUCAGUACUAUAUCCGGGUUAAAACCCCGCAGGCUUUAUGCGAGAAUAUUAUCACUGAUUAAUGUCCUUAAGCUUCGUGCUUGUACUAUAUCCGAGCUCUAAAGACCCGAUGACUACGUGUGGGGAUUUUGUCCGGGUAAGACCCGAUAACUUCGUGUGGAGAUUAUGUCCGGGUAAGACUUCGUAAUAAGAAUUGCUUAUAAAUAUAUUCAAUGCGAAAGGUUAAACAGGUAUGUACUUCAAGUUUAUAUGUGAGCUUGAUUUGCACUAAAUCAUAAGGUAGUUAUGUGAUGCAUACGAAAGCAAUCUUUGAGACUAUUCCUAUAAUUAUGUGACAUCGGAUCAGUGUGAGAGGUGAUGUGAAAUCAUACGAUAUAUCUAUGUCACAUGAGCUCACUUUUAUGUGAAAGUUUAUCUGCCUAUUGUAUAUGAUGAGAUGUGCAGAUUCGGUAAAGGGAUGGUAUGCCCGAAGGAAGAGUGAAAUAAAAAUACGAACAACUAUGUUAUAAUUUGAUUGUUAUCUGUUGACACUGCUUAAAACUUACUAAGCAUUGUAAUGCUUACUCCGUUUACUCUGUUUCCUCUGUUUUAUAGAUCUCAUUGCGAAGCUACAGGCUCGGGGAUCGUCAGCAACUAGUCACACUAUCACUAUCCACUGUUUGGUACUGCUAUGUUUCGGAUUGUCUUAUGGCAUGUAUAAAAUAGACUAGUGGCGGAAGAAUAUUUUGGUUAAUGUAUAUAGCCAUGCGAAAAUGGCUUAUAUAUGUUUGAGCAUAAUGUUAUAAUCAUUUGGUAUGGAAUGGUUAAUCGCUAUCAUGAUUUGUGCUAUUUAUGCUAAAAGGGCUAGUUGAAUCAUGGAAACUAUGAAAUAGGUAAAGUCUACCUUAAAGGCAGAUGCUGGCAGCAGCAGUGAUGUAGAUUUGGAAAAUCACUAAAAAUAGUAGGAUUGGAAUUAAAUAGUGAAUAAAUUAUGUAAACGAACAUUGAUGAAUCUAUUUUCAUAGGAAAGUAACGAAAUGAUCAUAUGGACAGUAUGUUAAGAGAUAUUCAGGUUCUCGUGAGAAAGGGCCAGAACGGUUUCUGGAUUCCCUGUUCCGACUUUGUAAAUUCAUUAUAAAUUAACCAGAGAUAAUUAGGAGUCAUGCCAUAUAUGUAUGGAUUCCUCUCUGAGUCUAGUUUCUAUAGAAACAAACGGUAUCAGUAUUGAAGCCCUGUGCAGGGAGAUAUCCAAGUCGUAAUGCGAAAAGGUCAGUGUAGUCGAUCCCUAUAACAUGGGAGACUUUGACUAAUAAACUGUACUAAUUGGCCCGACCAAAAAUUCUAGAAAAAAAUAUGUAGAUGGGCAUAUGAGUCUAGUUUCAUGGAAAAAUUACGAAACUGAUUUUCAAGUUGUGAAACUCAAGAUAUGAUUUUUAAAGCGACUAGUAUGCAGAUUGGCAGUGUCUGGGAAAUUUUUUUUUAUAAGUGGUUAAAGUCUGCUAACACCUCGUGUUCGACUCCGGUGACGGUCUCGGGUUCGGGGUGUUACAUUUGAUUGGUAUCAGAGCUAUGGUUUAGUCGAUUCUAGGACUAACGUAGCACGCGUGAGUCUAUUUAUACAUGCCAUAAAGUGAUAAAAUGAUAGUGUGAUGAUUUUUUGGCUAUUAAAAUGUGUUUGCUGUAUUGUAAUGAAUCUUGAUCCCGAUCGAGCUGUAGCAAGCUUCUGACUAUGAGAAUUUGCGAUAUAACUUCAUUUAGAUAUGCCUAAAUUAUUAAGUUGAUCAGGUACGUAUCAUGUACUCGUAUUUGAAUUUCGAUUUGGAUUGAAUUAUAAGGGUAUAAGUGAUGCAAUUUUGAAGGAGUGUUAUGACUAUAAAUGUGAUUUUUGUAUGUGGCUAUGGAACUGGAAGUUGAAUGGUCGAUAAGCAUGUUGUGUUUGUAUUCAAGUAAUGUAAAUGAUAUACUAAUGUGUAUUGCUAUAUGUGUAUAUGUAUGUAGAGACGAAAUUGUCGAAUGUAAAAAGGCAGUGAAGCGUAUAGAGUGGUUGGUUUUCAGCACUAAGUGUGCGGGCAAUAAGUGUUCACGGUUGUGAGAUUGGCACUAAGUGUGCGGGCAAUAAGUGUUCGCGGUUGUGAGAUUGGCACUAAGUGUGCGGGCAAUAAGUGUUCACGGUUGUGAGAUUGGCACUAAGUGUGCGGGCUUGAAAUGCAUGGCACUAAGUGUGCAAGUUUAAAGUACAUGGCACUAAGUGUGCGUGGUUGAUUAUUAAGCACUAUGUGUGCGAACCCACUAUAUAUAUAUAUUUUCUAUCAAUUAUUUAUAUUAAGGGUGCGACCUUACCGAGUCGAUUUCGGACAGCGAAAAGGGGUAAGUUCUUGAGUAAUAGAGCUUAAAUUAUGAUUUGAUUAGAUCAUGUUUUAAGCAAAUCAAAAUCAUGCUCUUUGUGUGUGGCUAUUGAGCCGAAAUUGCAAGAAUGAUAAGUGUCUUGUGUUUGAGUUUUGCUAACGAAAAUGAAAUACGAAUGUGCCAUGAUUUGUUGUUAAAUGUGCAUGGUUAUUUGAAUGAUGUCCGGGCUAAGUCCCGAAGGCUUUGUGCUAAGUGACCAUAUCCGGACUAAGACCCGAAGGCAUUGGUGCGAGUUACUAAAUCCAGGCUAAGUCCCGAAGAGCAUUCAUGCUAGUGAUGUAUUCGGGCUAAGUCCCGAAGAGCAUUCAUGCUAGUGAUGUAUCCGGGCUAAGUUCCAAAGAGCAUUCGUGCUAGUGAUAUAUCCGUGCUAAACCCCGAAGAGCAUUCGUGCUGGUGUUAUGUCCGGGCUAGGUCCCGAAGAGCAAUCAUGCUGGUGACGUGUAUUCGGACCUUCGUGCCUAGUAGGCUUUGUGCCGGUAAUUUGAGCAAAGUUUAAGUAUUCAUUACUAUACGAAUUCAAAUUUAAAUGAGAUGAUAUGUUUAAAAGUGUUCAUACAUGAUGUUUAUAGACUUGGUUAAGUCAUUUCAAUGUGUAAUAACGAAUGAAUAAGAGCACUAUGUGUGUGAAUGAUUAGAGGCACUGUGUGUGUGCGAAUUCCUUUAACCGAGCACUAUGAGUGCGAGAUCGGUCAGUGGGCACUAAGUGUGUGAAGUGGAAUUCAUGUAAGACCUCGUUUGGGACGAAGGCAUUGAUUUGAGAUAGUGUGUAAGACCAUGUCUGGGACAUGGCAUCGGCUCGAUAUGUGAGAAUAUGUAAGACCAUAUCUAGGAUAUGGCAUUGUAAGAGCUAUAUGUACUAUUGCUGAAUGGACACUAUUUUGUUAAUCUUGUUUAAGAAAUUAUUUUGAUUAAGUUUCGACAUUCGAAAGUUUGAAAGAAUUUUUGAUGAAUGUUGAUAAUUUUUUAUAUACGAGUUAUGUGCUAGAAUAAAUCUCAUGCCAGUGUAUUAUAUUAGGCUUUAUGCCUAUUCGACUGUAUACGGGUAACGUUAACAAUGAUUGAAUGUGCUAAAUGAACUAAAUGUUCAGGUACGUGGAAGUUGACUUUUCUUUUGGAAAUGAGUUAAGUUGAAUAUUGAGAUGUGAUAAAGUUAUAAAGGAUAUUUAUUGGGAUGUUUGAGUAUAUGUGUACUUUCGGUUAGGUUACAGCUUAUUCAUGAAUGAAAAUGUGGGUUACAAAUAUGUGGGUUGAUGAUGUGAAUUAUACAUGUUAAUAUGUGUUUGAAAUGCAUUUGUGAAUUAAGUUAAGUGAUUAUUGCUUAUGAAAUCAAGAAAAUGAGAUAUUUGUGCAUACUUGUAGAAAUGUUUAUGUAUUUGUUUUAAGAUAAGAAAAUGAUUUUAUAGACUGAUGCGAAAUCAAUAAUGAAUUACAAUUGCUAUCAAUGAGCUAAUGUCUUUGUGGAUAUAAUUCAAUAAGAGGACGUUAUCUUAAACUAUGCAUCGGUAGAAAUUUUCGGGGACGAAAAUUUCUUAAGGGGGGGAGAGUUGUGAUACCCCUAAAGUGACCCUAGUCGGAAAGUGGUUUCGGGACCACUAAACCGAGUCAUAAAGAUAAUUAACCGUCAUAGUUGAUGCUCAUUAUAUGUACAUAUGCAUGUGUGAAAAUUUCAUGUUUGAAUUUUGUUAAUGGUAAGUGAAUUUUAUCAAAUAGGACUUAUGUGAGAAAAUUUGGAAAUGUGCUAGGCAAAUGUAAAGUGGCCUAAUAAUGCAUGUUGUGAAAUGAUGGGUUUGCAUGUCAAAUUCCCCACUUUAGAGGAAGUGGCCGGCCAUGAGGGUAUGGGAUACAAAGCAUAUGCAUUUUGUAUUAAUAUUAUAAUGACUACAUGGUUUUAUAAUAGGAAAUAAGUAUUAAAAAAAACAUAUUAAAGACAUUUUAUGCUAAUAUGUGUGGGAAGAAUAAUAAAAUAUGAGGGGAGUGGGAGGAGAAACCAAAGUUGUCUCCCCCUUACUCCCCAUUGCCGUGACUAGAGAAAGGGGAGGAAAAACAAAAUUCUUCCUUUGUUGUUCAACAUGGCCGAAUGGAAGGAAGAAGAAGAGGGGAAGUUCGGCCAAGGUGGUUCUUGAGAUUAAGGUAUGUUCAAUGUUGCUUUUGGAGGUUUACACAUCCUUUGGAGGGUUAGCCUACUUCUAUUUAUCUCAUGGAUGAAAUUAGAGUUGUUGGAGAGUUAGGAUUCGGCUAAGAGGCUUCAAAAUUUUAGUUGAUGCCUUGAUACUACUAGCAUGUUAGCUAUAUGGAUGUGUUAAAUUACUUGAAAUGCUAGAUAAAUUUGAACUCCCUACCAAAUUCUUUAGGCAACCCAUGUUAGAAAUUUCGGUAUUGAGAUGUUUAGAUCUUUCGGCCAUUGUAGCUAUGGAGGAAUAAAGUUUUUGUUUCUUGUUAAAUUGGAUGAAUCUUGUUGUAUGAGUGCUUAAACAAACUAUGAUUAAAUGGAUGCAUAAAUUCAAAGUGGGAAGAAAUGGGCUAUUAUAUUUGAUGCUAAUGCCGAAUAUGAAGAUGAUGAACUUGAAUAAAUAAUAUUCAGCUAGCAUGAUAAGUUAUGAAAUAUUAAGUAGAUGAUAUAAUUGAUUGAUGAAGUGGCUAAUAAGGAUUUCUAAUGAAAUUGUUGCCAAGGCCGAAUGUAUCAUGAAGUAAAUAAAAAAAUUCUAAAUGUGCAUUAUGUGCUUAUAUGUGUAUUCGGCCAGGGAAGUUUGACAUGAAACUUUGAUAGGUUUGAGAGAUGAAUGACCGAAUGAGCUAGAGGUUAUGUAUGGGUGAAUUUUAUGCAUAUGUGUGUGUGUGGCAUUAGUAGCUAAUGGCAUUCGGCAUUGUUUAAUUAAAAUUAGAAAUGAAUGCUUGAAAGUUAAAUAGGUCACUCUAAUGACCAAAUAUGCUAAAAGCUAAUAUAUGGACAAAUGAUACGAACGAAUUGGUUUUUGAAAUGUAUAUGGUUGCCAUAUAUAUGUGUUUGAUUGAGAAGUAAAUUUGUUUGAUUUAGCUUAAGAGCCUAGAGGAUCAAAGUUGGAUAAGGGAAAGGAAAAAGUGAUCGAAGAGCCGUCGUAAUCGUUCGGCAAGUUCCGAGGUAAGUUUUAAGUGUUUAAACGUUGAGUAAAUUCAAUUAUAAUAGGACAUGAUGAGCUGAUUUAAUAAGAUAUGAUGUGGCCAUGAUAUGUUCUAAGCUCAAAUGGUAAGUUCUUAAGUGUUUGAGCUUGGGAAUUUAAAGGUAAUUUGAAAUAGUCUGCUUCGGACAGCAGCAGUAACGUGACUUUAGAAAAUCACCAUAAAUUUAUGGACUUGAAUUAAAGGCUGAAUGAGACAUGAAAUUAAAACUUAAUGAGUCUAGUUUCUUAUAAAAGAAACCGUGUAAGCAAAGGAAUUUCCGAUAAUGAGAUAUUUAAAGUUGUGUCAGAUGGUGUCAGAAUGACUCCGAAAUCCCCUGUUCUGUUUUUAGAAAAUCAUUAUAAAUUUUAAAAAAAUGUUUAUAAGAUAAAAUUUAUAUGCUUAGACUCCUUAAUGAGUCUAGUUUCAAAUAAAAUCAAAUACAACACAUUUUGAAUUCUGUAAAAUGAGAAAUUUGAUUCGUAGUGAAGAGUGGUCAGAUUAGUCAAACAGUGGAACAGGGGAAACUUUAAGAAAAAUAUGGUAUUGAUUGGCCAAACCUAAAAUUCUGGAAAUUUUAUGGAUGGAAGAUAUACAAGUCUAUAUUCAGGAAAAAUUAACGGAAAGUGAUUUGGAGUUUUGUAGCUCCAGUUAUAAAUGAUUUAGUGACUAUUGCUCAGGAAAAACAGCUUGUGCUGAAUUUGAGAUUGUGUUGUAAACCUUGAUAAACUUGUUCUAGUUGCUCAUAAGCUAUCGAUUAAACCCAUACGUGAAUUCUAAAUUGUGAUAUUGGAAAAUGAUAGAUGUAUAUUCAGCCAAGAGAGUGUAUAUAUGUGAUAAGGCCUAAUGGCCGAUGUGAUGAAUGUGAAAGUGUAUGUAUGUAAUAAGGCCUAAUGGCCGAUGUGAUGAAUGUGAAAGUGUAUGUAUAUGUGAUAAGGCCUAAUGGCCGAUGUGAUGAAUGUGAAAGUGUAUGUAUAUAUGUGAUAAGGCCUAAUGGUCGAUGUGAUGAAUGUGAAAGUGUAUGUAUAUAUGUAAUAAGGCCUAAUAGCCGAUGUGAUGAAUGUGAAAGUGUAUAUGUGUGAUAAGGCCUAAUAGCCGACGUGAUGAAUGUGAAAGUGUAUAUGUGUGAUAAGGCCUAAUAGCCGAUGUGAUGAAUGUGAAAGUGUAUAUAUGUGAUAAGGCCUAAUGGCCGAUGCGAUGAAUGUGAAAGUGUAUAUAUGUGAUAAGGCCUAAUGGCCGAUGUGAUGAAUGUGAAAGUGUAUAUAUGUGACAAGGCCGAGUGGCCAACGUAAUGGAUGUGAAAGUGCAUAAAUGUGAUAAGUCCCGAAAGGCAUUUGUGUCAGUACUAUAUCCGGGUUAAAACCCCGCAGGCUUUAUGCGAGAAUAUUAUCACUGAUUAAUGUCCUUAAGCUUCGUGCUUGUACUAUAUCCGAGCUCUAAAGACCCGAUGACUACGUGUGGGGAUUUUGUCCGGGUAAGACCCGAUAACUUCGUGUGGAGAUUAUGUCCGGGUAAGACUUCGUAAUAAGAAUUGCUUAUAAAUAUAUUCAAUGCGAAAGGUUAAACAGGUAUGUACUUCAAGUUUAUAUGUGAGCUUGAUUUGCACUAAAUCAUAAGGUAGUUAUGUGAUGCAUACGAAAGCAAUCUAUGAGACUAUUCCUAUGAUUAUGUGACAUCAGAUCAGUGUGAGAGGUGAUGUGAAAUCAUACGAUAUAUCUAUGUCACAUGAGCUCACUUUUAUGUGAAAGUUUAUCUGCCUAUUGUAUAUGAUGAGAUGUGCAGAUUCGGUAAAGGGAUGGUAUGCCCGAAGGAAGAGUGAAAUAAAAAUACGAACAACUAUGUUAUAAUUUGAUUGUUAUCUGUUGACACUGCUUAAAACUUACUAAGCAUUGUAAUGCUUACUCCGUUUACUCUGUUUCCUCUGUUUUAUAGAUCUCAUUGCGAAGCUAUAGGCUCGGGGAUCGUCAGCAACUAGUCACACUAUCACUAUCCACUGUUUGGUACUGCUAUGUUUCGGAUUGUCUUAUGGCAUGUAUAAAAUAGACUAGUGGCGGAAGAAUAUUUUGGUUAAUGUAUAUAGCCAUGCGAAAAUGGCUUAUAUAUGUUUGAGCAUAAUGUUAUAAUCAUUUGGUAUGGAAUGGUUAAUCGCUAUCAUGAUUUGUGCUAUUUAUGCUAAAAGGGCUAGUUGAAUCAUGGAAACUAUGAAAUAGGUAAAGUCUACCUUAAAGGCAGAUGCUGGUAGCAGCAGUGAUGUAGAUUUGGAAAAUCACUAAAAAUAGUAGGAUUGGAAUUAAAUAGUGAAUAAAUUAUGUAAACGAACCUUGAUGAAUCUAUUUUCAUAGGAAAGUAACGAAAUGAUCAUAUGGACAGUAUGUUAAGAGAUAUUUAGGUUCUCGUGAGAAAGGGCCAGAACGGUUUCUGGAUUCCCUGUUCCGACUUUGUAAAUUCAUUAUAAAUUAACCAGAGAUAAUUAGGAGUCAUGCCAUAUAUGUAUGGAUUCCUCUCUGAGUCUAGUUUCUAUAGAAACAAAGGGCAUCAGUAUUGAAGCCCUGUGCAGGGAGAUAUCCAAGUCGUAAUGCGCAAAGGUCAGUGUAGUCGAUCCCUGUAACAUGGGAGACUUUGACUAAUAAACUGUACUAAUUGGACUGAGCAAAAAUUCUAGAAAAAAAUAUGUAGAUGGGCAUAUGAGUCUAGUUUCAUGGAAAAAUUACGAAACUGAUUUUCAAGUUGUGAAACUCAAGAUAUCAUUUUUAAAGCGACUAGUACGCAGAUUGGAAGUGUCUGGGAAUUUUUUUUUAUAAGUGGUUAAAGUCUGCUAACACCUCGUGUUCGACUCCGGUGACGGUCUCGGGUUCGGGGUGUUACAAAUGGCGUCUUUGAUGUAUGAAAUUCCACUGUUGGAUCGCAACACUAGAUUUGCGUUGUGGCAAAUUAAGAUGCAAGCAGUUCUUGCACAGAUGGAUCUGGAGGAUGUCCUGCUAGGGAUAGAUAAGAUGCCUUCGACAUUAACAGAUGAAGAGAAGAAGCGUAAGGAUCGAAAGGCAUUAACACAAUUACAUCUGCAUUUGUCCAACGAAAUUUUACAGGAUGUGAUGAAAGAGAAAACUGCCGCUGCAUUAUGGAAGAGGCUAGAACAAAUACGUAUGUCGAAAACUCUAACAAGCAAGUUACAUAUGAAGCAGCGUCUUUAUGCUCAUCGUUUGGAGGAAGGUGCGUCUGUACACGAACACUUAACAGUGUUUAAAGAAAUUCUCUCAAACUUGAAGGCCAUGGAGGUUCAGUAUGAUAAGGAAGAUCUAGGGUUGAUUCUACUUUGUUCGUUGCCCCCGUCUUAUUCAACCUUUAGAGACACGAUUUUAUAUAGCCGAGAGUCUCUCACAGUUGAUGAGGUUUAUGAUUCUUUAACCUCGUAUGAUAAGAUGAAGCAUCUUGUGGUUAAACCCGACUCUCAGGGAGAGGGUCUCAUUGUUCAUGGGAGACAAGAUCGGAAUGCUGAUGAUGAUCGUGGUAGGACAUAGGAACGGAAUCCUCGUGGUAAAUCUAAGGGUAGAUCAAAGUCUUCAAACAGAGGUAAAACUUGUAACUUCUGCAAGAAGAAAGGGCACAUUAAAUCUGAGUGCUAUAAGCUACAAAAUAAGAUUAAAAGGGAGGCUGCGAAUCAAAAGGGAAAACAACCAGAAAAUUCCGGUGAAGCUAAUGUUGUAGAAGACUACAGCGAUGGUGAACUUUUAGUCGCUUCUGUUAAUGAUUCUAAAGUAAGUGAGGAGUGGAUACUUGAUUCAGGCUGCACCUUCUACAUGAGUCCCAAUCGGGAUUGGUUUACAACUUACGAAACAAUAUCUGAAGGUGUUGUUUAGAUGGGAAAUAAUGCUUCGUGUAAAAUCGCAGGUGUUAGAACAAUUAAAGUUAAGAUGUUUGAUGGAGUUGUCAGAACACUUAGUGACGUGCGGCAUGUUCCAGAAUUGAAAAGAAAUUUAAUUUCGUUGAGUAGUCUUGAUUCAAAAGGGUACAAAUACACAGCUGAAAGUGGGGUUUUAAAGAUUUCCAAAGGGUCCCUUGUUGUGAUGAAAGGGUAGAGAAAGAUUGCCAAGUUAUAUGUUUUACAGGGUUCUACUGUUACUGGUGAUGCAGCUGUCGCUUCCUCUUCCUUGUCAGAUGAUGAUAUUACUAAACUUUGGCAUAUGCGCCUAGGGCAUAUGAGUGAGAAUGGCAUGGCAGAAUUAAGCAAAAGAGGACUUCUUAAUGGGCAAGGAAUUUGCAAACUGAAUUUCUGUGAGCACUGUGUUUUUGGGAAGCAAAAGAGAGUUCGAUUCACUAGAGGAAUCCAUAACACGAAGGGAACGUUGGAGUAUAUUCAUUCUGAUCUGUGGAGGCCAUUCAGAGUGCCUUCGAGAGGUGGAGCUAAUUAUAUGCUAACCUUUAUUGAUGAUUUUUCUAGAAAAGUUUGGGCGUUUUUCCUGAAGCAAAAAAGCGAUGUGUUUUCCGUAUUUAAGUCUUGGAAAAUUAUGAUUGAAAAACAAAAGGGAAAACAGAUAAAAUACCUCCGCACAGACAAUGGCUUAGAGUUUUAUUUUGAUAAGUUUAAUAGAUUGUGCAAGUCAGAAGGGAUCAUGAGACACUUGACAGUUCGUCAUACUCUACAGCAAAACGGCAUUGCAGAACGAAUGAACAGAACGAUCAUGGAGAAGGUUCGAUGUAUGUUGUCAAAUGCCAACUUACCGAAGGUAUUUUGGGCAGAAGCGGCAUCUACUACAUGUUUUUUGAUCAACCGAUCUCUAUCCGUUGCCAUUGAGAAAAAGACUCCACAAGAGGUAUGGUCUGGUAAUCCUACUAAUUAUUCUAAUUUAAAGAUUUUUGGGUGUCCUGCGUAUGCUCAUGUUGAUAAUGGAAAAUUGGAACCGAGAUCUAUUAAAUGCAUUUUUCUUGGUUAUAAAGCUGGUGUAAAAGGGUAUAAGUUAUGGUGUCCUGAAAAUAGAAAAGUUGUGAUUAGCAAAGAUGUUGUUUUUGAUGAAACUGCUAUGCUACCUAACUUAUCUCUUAAAAACUCUUCCAAUAAAGAAAAUCAAAAGUAGGUGGAGCAUCAGAUUAGUACAGAGUCAACUCCUCAAGCCAGAACAAAAAUUAAGAAUGGAGUUGCUUCUUCACCACAAUAUUCUAUCGCCAAAAACAAAACUAGAAGAGAAAUUAAACCUCCAAAGAAGUAUGCCGAGGUUGAUCUAAUUGCUUAUGCUUUAAAUGUGGCUGAAGAUAUAGAUGCGAAUCAAGAGCCAUCUAAUUAUUCUGACGCGGUUAGCUGUGAAGACUCAGAAAAGUGGAUGUUUGCUAUGCAAGAAGAGAUGGAAUCACUUCACAAAAACAGAACAUGGGACCUUGUGAAACUUCCUAAAGGUAAAAAGGCUGUUCGUUGUAAAUGGGUGUUUAAAAAGAAAGAAGGGACUCUAGGAGUUGAAGAACCCAGAUAUAAAGCAAGGCUUGUUGCAAAGGGUUACAGUCAAAUUCCAGGAGUGGACUUCACAGAUGUGUUCUCUCCAGUUGUUAAGCAUAGUUCGAUUCGAGCUUUGCUUGGUAUUGUGGACAUGCAUGAUUUGGAGCUUGAGCAGUUAGAUGUAAAAACUGCAUUUCUGCAUGGAGAACUUGAGGAAGAUAUUUACAUGCAACAACCAGAGGGUUUUAUAGUCUUAGAAAAAUAGGACUAUGUUUGCUUGCUGAGAAAGUCCCUUUACGGUUUGAAACAGUCACCAAGACAGUGGUACAAGAGGUUUGAUUCCUUUAUGACUUCUCAUGAUUUCAAAAGAAGUAGUUUAGACAGUUGUGUUUACUUUAAGAAAAACAGUGAUGGUUUUUUUGUGUAUCUACUUCUUUAUGUUGAUGACAUGUUGAUAGCAGCAAAAGAUAAAGAAGAAAUAAGAAAGGUUAAAGCCCAACUAAGUGAAGAAUUUGAGAUGAAAGAUUUAGGACCAGCAAAGAAGAUACUUGGUAUGGAGAUUCUCAUAGAUAGAAAAGCAAGUAAAUUGUACCUAAGUCAGAAGGGGUACAUUGAGAAAGUUCUUUACAGGUUCAGUAUGCAGAGUGCUAAGCCUGCUAGUACUCCUUUAGCAGUCCAUUUCAGACUUUCAUCGGCCUUGUCUCCUCAACCAGAUGAUGAGAUUGAGUACAUGUCACAUGUUCCAUACUCUAGUGCAGUGGGAUCUCUCAUGUAUGCUAUGGUUUGUUCACGUCCAGAUUUAUCAUAUGCAGUCAGUGCAGUUAGCAGAUAUAUGGCAAAUCCCGGUAAAGAACACUGAAAAGCAGUUCAGUGGAUUUUAAGAUACUUACGAGGCACUACUGAUGUUUGCUUACAGUUUGGAAGAACUAAAGAUGGAGUUAUAGGAUAUGUUGAUGCUGAUUUUGCUGGAGACCUUGAUAGAAGAAAAUCUCUCACAGGUUACAUCUUUACAACCGGAGGUUGUGCAAUUAGUUGAAAAGCCACUUUGUAAACUACAGUCGCUUUGUCUACCACUGAAGCUGAGUACAUGGUGAUUACUGAGGCUUGUAAAGAAGCUAUUUGGUUGAAGGGACUAUUUAGUAAACUCAAUGAAGACCUUCAAAUCAGCACAGUAUUUUAUGACAGUCAGAGUGCCAUUUUUCUUACAAAAGAUCAAAUGUUUCAUGAGAGAACAAAACACAUUGGUAUUCGGUAUCAUUUUGUUCGUGAUAUUAUUGCUCGUGGUGAUAUUGUUGUGAGCAAAAUUAGUACUCAUGAAAAUCCUACAGAUAUGAUGACUAAGUCACUUCCUAUAACCAAGUUUGAGCAUUGCUUAGACUUGGUUGGUGUUCAUUGUUGAAGUUAAACCCUUAAGAGGUUUUAUGGAAGAGGUGGAGAACUUGUUUAUUGAAAGUUCGCGAUGAAGAACUUGUUCAUUGAGAAUUUGUGUCAAGGUGGAGAUUGUUAGAAUUAAGUGACUCAAAUUCUUAUUUAAAUAAAAUACGAUGGAAAAUAAAAUAAAAGUAAAAUCCAUAUAGAACUAAACUUCUUUUAUUUUAUUUUAGAAUAAGAUUUUUAAACCUUAUUAAACUCCAUCUAUUUUAUAUUGAUUAGGAUAAGGUGUUUCAAUCCUACUAGAAUAUGGCUUUGCAAGCCUAUAAAUAGACAUAGUCUAUUCCUCUUGUAUUUGAUUCAAAUUUUUCGACAUAGUGAAUUUUCUUCUCCUCUGCCCAUGGUUUUUUCCCGAAAAGGUUUCCACGUAAAAUUUGUGUGUUCUUUAUUUUAUUUUAUUUUAUUUUUUCACAAUUACAUGUAUGAACAAUAAUAUGUGAAAACGACAUGAAAGCCAAUGACGACACGUGAUAUGCAAGACAACACAAGAACUAGGAAUCAAUGAUAUAAACAAUUUAAAGACCAUUAAAUAUAUACAAAGAAAUAACACAAGUAAAAAUUUGAAAUAAUUUGUGUGCAUAUAAAAACUGACAAUGUAUGAAUAAUUAUUAAAAUAUAUAUAUUACGUAAGAAGAAAUUCAAAAUAAUAAUAUGAAACAUAAACAAGUUAAUUUAACUAAUGAUAUAUAUAUGUAUGUAUGUAUGUAUAAAAAUGAAAAAAAGAGUGUAAAUGAUGUAUACCAAGGUACCAAAGUAUUUAAAAUAAAUAAAAUAUAUAAUUUAAAAUAAGAUCCUUUAAAGAGAGCCAAAUUAUACAUAAAUAAACUUAAAAGAGAAUAUAUACAUAUAAUAAAUUUAAAAGAGAACAUUUACAUAAAAUAAUAUGAAAACAAUAAUGUGUAUAGAAUAAAGCUAAUUUCAUAUAAUAACAUAUAAGAGUUUUCAAAUGUAAUAUCAUACAAAAUAAGAUAUAUAUAAAAAAAACUCUAAAAUAAUGUUGUUUUAAAAAAAACAAAAUGGUCAAAGUGAUUUUAUAUAUAUAUAUAUAAAGCUAAAUGAAUUUUAAUAAUAAAAAAAAAGUGAAUCAUGCAAAUAAAACAGAAAACUCAAUUAAAAUGAAGUUAAAAUAAAAGGGAUACUUUAUAAAUAAAUAAAUAAAAACCAUUGGAAUUAGAAAAGGAGGGAAAAAAAACACAAAUGUGUGAGGGUCGAAAAUCAAAUUAUUCCCUAGCUUCAAGACACAUCACUUCAACGCGGACCAAAAUGAGCAAAUGCGCCAGUUUCAGGGAAAAAAAUGAAAAAGGACUAAAGAAAUCUAAAUGAGACUCAAUCAAAAAGCACCAGAACAGGGAGGGACCAAACGCGCAAAUCCCCCAUUCGAAAGCAAAACGUGCGGGUCUGCUCCCUCCCAAACGGUGCUGCUUCAAUGUGUUAUUUAAAAUAAAUAAAAAAACUGUUUUAAAAAUCAUUUUUAUUUUUGCCCCCUUUUUAAAACCCUAAUGCUCUCAAACUCUCCCUAUUUCCCUUUUUCUUUUCAACCGAAUGGCUCUCAAAUACCACCACUCUCGUCACACACGCCGCCGUAGACAAACAACAGAGGGUCGAAGAACCCCUCUUGCGAGGCGAAUCGAGAGGUACUCACCCUUUCCCCUUUUAUUUCGUAUUUUCGGAUUUGAAUGGAAAUGAAAAUAAAGCAAAAGAACAGGAAAAAGAAAAUCAUAAAUACCCACCUUAGAAAUGUUUUCUUGGCUGCUCUUUACUCUCUUUUUUGGUAUAUUUUGAAUUUCAAAAAAAAAAAGAACCCUUUACAAUUAAAAAUCAAAGGCUUUAUAGCCAAAAUACAAGCAGUUUCUGUUGUUUCCUUGUCCAACUUGCACGCCGUGAAGUUGUGGAGAACGAGGGGCGUGGAGUAUGGGCGCAAACAUGGAGCGGGGCACACGAGGAUCGUGCGUGGAGUGUUGACGUGGGGGCUGCGGCGUGGGUGACCUAGGUUUCCCUAGAUUAGCCGAUUAGAUUUAGAUUUUGGGCCAUGGGUAUAGGGCCUAUCUCAUGUAAUUAGGUUAGUUUCAUUUUGGGUUUUGGGUUUGUAUUUGGACAUUUAAUAUUUUGUUUUAUUCUUUGGUUUUUGUAUGUGGAUGGGCUCGGGUCAAAAUUGGGUCUUACAGGCGGCGCGGUGGAUCGCCAAGGAAGCCUAUUGGCCGGAUGUAUAGGGAGACAAAGGGUAGAGGAUGAGAGAAUUCCAAAGUUCUCUCAUUUUUUUUAAACUAAAGGCUGAAAAUGAAAUUUCAAAAAAAAAAGGCUUUUAUAAAACACUGAAACGACAUGGUUUCAUUUGGCCUCCCCAGACGCCAAGACGGUGUCGUUUUGGGAGGCCAACCCGAACCUGACCCGCUCCACAAAAGGGAUCCGUGUGUUUUUUUUAUUUUGGGUUAUUUGCGAAAAUGGGGCUUUCGCUUUUGCUUCGUACUUAGAUUAAGUCCCUCCUUUUUUUUCUUUUUUAAUUCGACCCUUUUAUUUCAUUCCGCAUUCAAUUUAGUCCAUCUAUUCGCAAGUUGGAGUGGCGCACUUAAUGGGGUUUGGGAUAUUUUCUCAAUUAACCCCUUGCAUGUUUUAGUGUGUUUCAAAUCCGUCCUCUGCUUUAUUUUUUUAUCCGAAUUUCCCCUUUGAAUUCUAUUUAGAUUUUAAUUUAAUCCUUUUUAUAUACUUACUUUUAUUUUAUUCGAAUUUGGACCCUAAAAUUUCAUUUUAUUUGCAAUCAAGCCCUUAUUCAUGUAAAUUUGGAC
rnacentral:lncRNA from 1 species